rnacentral:tRNA from 1 species
GAGGGGGUGGAGCUCAGUGGCACAGCAAUGUGCUUAGCCCGCACAAGACCCUGGGUUCAGUCCCCAGCCCACACA